rnacentral:rRNA from 1 species
UGCCUACGGGGCGCAGCAGUGGGGAAUAUUGCACAAUGGGGGAAACCCUGAUGCAGCGACGCCGCGUGAGUGAAGAAGUAUUUCGGUACGUAAAGCUCUAUCAGCAGGGAAGAAAAAAAGUCCUUUGGACUUUGGACGGUACCUGACUAAGAAGCCCCGGCUAACUACGUGCCAGCAGCCGCGGUAAUACGUAGGGGGCAAGCGUUAUCCGGAUUUACUGGGUGUAAAGGGAGCGUAGACGGCAGCGCAAGUCUGGAGUGAAAUGCCGGGGCCCAACCCCGGAACUGCUUUGGAAAC